CCCCUAGAUGUUCUGGGCCGCACGCGCGCUACACUGAACAGUUCAACAAGUCUUAACCUUGGCCGAUAGGUCUGGGUAAUCUUUGAACGCUGUUCGUGAUUGGGAUAGACCUUUGCAAUUAUGGGUCUUCAACGAGGAAUUCCUAGUAAACGCAAGUCAUCAGCUUGCAUUGAUUACGUCCCUGCCCUUUGUACACACCGCCCGUCGCACCUACCGAUUGAAUGGUCCGGUGAAACCUCGGGACGGCGGCUUGGUCGCUUGCGUCCGACUGCUGAAACUUGAUUAAACCAUAUCAUUUAGAGGAAGGUGAAGUCGUAACA
rnacentral:rRNA from 1 species